CUAGUCUGAGUUGCUCCCCACAAUGUCUAGCUGUGAGUACAGCUAGAUGCUUCUCCCUGUUCCAUGCUCCAAUUACUUAACUGACUCUUCUUAAAUUACAGGACAGGAAGAGGUUCUCAGAGGUGUAUGUACCCCUCACAGCCUCUGGUCAGGCAAACCUGUUACGAGGUCUCUGGGUAGAAGAGCUGUGAAUGUGCUGCAGCUCUCAGGCCUACGCCACCUUCUCCUGGGGAUGAUGAUUCUACCAUGGACUGAGCACAGCAGGGACACCAGAGCUUGAUCACUCCUGCCCAACACUGCCAUCUCUGAUGGACAACCUGUGCCGUGGGACCCGUAUCAGCCUGACCAAGACUCUCGGAGCAACAAUCUUAGGCUCUGCUUCCACAGUUGCCCAUGCCUGGAGUCAUUCCUGUGAAUCCUUUAAGGGCUUUUUCUCCUGGUCCUGCUCUUGUCCCCCAUUUUAUUCUAGAUUGGAGAAAAUGCCAACCACAGAAACCUCUGUGCAAAGAUAAUAUUAAUAAUGAUCAGUAUUACCCUUACCAGUUUCUAAGAACUCUUUUAAUAAGUUGUCUUUUUCAAAAUUCUGAGAAAAAGACCUCCCCACCAACAGACAUACCUAGUCUAAGAAGAAAAAGGAAAGAAAAUUCGCCCCUAGACAAGCUUGUGGACACAACACAGCUACUGCUCACCAAAAGGGGAGAUGAACAAAAGAUGCCAUUCUCUUCUGUUUCCUGAGAAAUGUUGCAAGGAGCAAGCUGCACAGAUCCUUAGACAAAAGGAAAAACAGUAUUUUUAACAAGAUUUUCUUGCUUCUGCUUCGUCCCCUUGUCAUAAUCACAUAAGUCAUCUUUUAUGAUGAAAUGGCAAAGGUCUCAUAGGAAGCAGGUGAUGAUGUAGGGACAGUGCCAUGGCCGGAAUUGUGACCCCAAACACCAUGCACAAACUCUUAUGUUGAAAGCCCUAGGCCCCUGUGUGUCUGCAUUUAGGGAUGGUACCUUUAAUGGAGUGACUAAAGGCAAAUGAAGUUCUAAUUCAAGAGGAUGGUGCCAUUAUAAAGAGAGGAAGAGACAAGAAAAUGUCCUCUCUCUCUGUCUCCGUCUCUCUCUCUCUUUCCCCUCCCCCCAUCCCGGUCUCUCCUCCUCACAGCAGAGGACACAGAAAAAAGACAGCCACCUAUGAGCAAGAGAUGAGGCCUUGGAAUGAGACCUACCUUUCUAGUGCUUUGGUCUCGCAUUCCCCAGAGGACUCCAGACUGUGAGAAAUAGAUGUCUCUUGUUUGAGCCUCAUAUUCUAUGAUAUUCUCUUAUGGCAGCCUGAGCUUACUAGUGCAGAUGCUAAAUACAGUUAUUAGAUCCAUCUCUUUCCAAGUGAAAUAAGCAUCAUCACAAGGCAGAUAGACAAGGGCUGCCCGGAUACAAUCAAAUACAGAGGUAUAAUUUAAGGAAAAGCAUUAAUUCUUUGCCUUUGGUUAAAUUCUCAUUAGAUAACUUUUCAAAUUUUUUAUUAAUUAUUAAUUUUAUUUGAAAGGCACAGAAACAGAGCGAUACAGACAUACAUCUUACGUCCACUGGCUCACUCUUCAAAUGCUUGUUAACAGGCAAGACUGGGCCAGGCCGAAGCCAGGAGGCAACAGCUCCAUCCUGGUCUUCCACAUGGAUGUCAGGGACCAACCAGUGGGGCCAUGACUUCUGCCUCCUAGGAUGUGCAUUAACCCAAGCUGUAGUAGGGAGUAAAA
rnacentral:lncRNA from 1 species